rnacentral:lncRNA from 1 species
AUCCUCCACUCCACAAGAGGCUAGGAGCUGGGGGGAGAGAGGCAGUCCAGCCGCAGGGGCCACCCGAACAGUCUCUCCUCCUCACAGAAGCCUGACCAAAAAGAAGAAUGUACUUCAUCUGGUUGGGCUGGAUUCCCUCUGAUAAGCCUUCCCAGUUGACUGAAAGAUGAGGCUAGGCUCUAGCAAGUUGAAGUCAAACCAGCUCCUUCAAGAAGCUUUGAGCAGAAUGAAGUGGGGAGGACCCAGCUUCCAGCCCAGGAAGCCCACUGUACCUGGAGCCAUCUGGGAUAAGACUUUGACCCAUGACUCCCAUAUCCACAGCCUGUCCAUCCUAGCCCAUCCCAGUUUAUCCUGUAUCAUUUGAGCUGGGAUUCCCACAUCCUCUGAGUUGGAAGUCCCAUCUCAAGUCUUCAAUAAAGACUCUUGAAUAUUGAAUCACAUUAA